rnacentral:rRNA from 1 species
GACGAACGCUGGCGGCGUGCCUAAUACAUGCAAGUUGAGCGAUGAAGAUUGGUGCUUGCUCCUCUUUGAAGAGCAGCGAACGGGUGAGUAACGCGUGGGGAAUCUGCCUUUGAGCGGGGGACAACUUUUGGAAACGAAUGCUAAUACCGCAUAACAACUUUAACCAUAAGUUUUAAGUUUGAAAGAUGCAAUUGCUUCACUCAAAGAUGAUCCCGCGUUGUAUUAGCUAGUUGGUGAGGUAAAGGCUCACCAAGGCGAAGAUACAUAGCCGACCUGAGAGGGGGGUCGGCCAAAUUGGGACUGAGAAACGGCCCAAACUCCUACGGGAGGGAGCAGGAGGGAAUCUUCGGGAAAGGACGGAAGGCUGAACGAGGAAAGCCGGGGGAGUGAAGAAGGGUGUCGGAUCGGAAAAAUCUGUUGGUAGAGAAGAAAGAUGGGGAGAGUGGAAAGCGCAUGAAGUGACGGUAACUAAUCAGAAAGGGACGGCUAACUACGUG